GCAGUGGUGGUUCAGUGGUAGAAUUCUCGCCUCCCACGCAGGAGACCCGGCUUCAAUUCAGGGCCAAUGCU
rnacentral:tRNA from 1 species